rnacentral:tRNA from 1 species
UUUAGGGAGACCUACACCCCUCAAAUCUUGAAAGCAAAAUGCAAAUAAAGAUUGAGUUGGUCUAACCUAGGUCGGUCGCAGAUAUUUGCAACAUGUUGAACGCUUUCAAACUAUGAUAAAGGUUCGUUAUGGGCUAUUAGCUCAGGUGGUUAGAGCGCACCCCUGAUAAGGGUGAGGUCCCUGGUUCGAGUCCAGGAUGGCCCACCUGAAGAAGUCAAAAGUUAAAAUUCAAAAAUCAAAAGUGUUUACUUCUGAUUAAUGAGUUUUGAAUUUUGAAUUGAUUCUGGGGGUUUAGCUCAGUUGGUAGAGCGCCUGCUUUGCAAGCAGGAUGUCAGCGGUUCGAGUCCGCUAACCUCCACCUGUGGCAAGAGCGCCAUUGAAUAAAAUAUUCUGAGAGUUCAGCAACAUGACAUUCAUUGUCAGACUGCUGAGUUGUAUCUCAGCCAGAACCUUGAAAACUGCAUAGUAACGCGAAAUUAGCAGGCAGACACAGAUAAUCUUUACAGAUGUUUUUGUGAAUGCAAAAUGUGAAAGACCAAAUGAAUUGAGU